UGCGAACUUGUUCGGAUGCAUUUUUCGCUUUCGUGAAAUAAUUGUUUUCCGUGAACCAAAGUGAUGGAAUGUCGUUGAUGAAAACCGUAAUAAAUCUACUAUGUCGAACAUGAAACAAACAAUGGUGUGAAGAUGUGCGGUCCCGUUCACUGUAUUUCACUCUGUAAGGUUUGUAAAAACAACGAAUGAAUAGGAUUUAUAAAUGAACGUUUUGGUUGGGAGCAUAUUUGUGAUACAUUUUAAUCGGUUUGUCGGAUUACGUAGAAGAAUUAUACAAUUGGUCAUUUUGUCAACAACCGGCAAAUAAUCUGAUGCAUGUUAUGUGAAUUUCUAACCGGCGUCGUAGUGUCUAUUUUUUUGGUCUCCCGACCAACAUUGACACCACUAUGUAGUACCAAAAUCGCUACACCACGAUGCCGUGUGGACGGGCAGUAAAGAUAGCUGGAGUGUAUUUCAGUGAUGUUUGUGAGGAAACAAAGAUGAAGAGGAUCUAACAAAGUGUUGUGAAUAAUUUUUACUCAGUCUUUUUUUAAGCUUUCGUCUGUUUCGUCUGUGACUUAUUUUCAUGCAGUACUGGUUUUGUUGGUGAUUAUAAUAGAUAAAAGUGACAAAAUGUGAUGAUGACAAAUGAUGGAUUCUUUCGCAAACGGCCAUUACAACAAGUAUGUGUAUUUAAGUGAUGUUUGUGAGGAAACAAAGAUGAAGAGGAUCUAACAAAGUGGUGUGAAUAAUUUUUGCUCAAUCUUUUCUAAAGCUGAAGUUUUGUCUGUUACUAAUUUUUAUGCAGUACUGGUUUUGUUGGUGAUUAUAGAAGAUUAAAGUGACAAAAAAUUAUGGAUGUUCUUUCGCAAAAGGUAAUUGCAACAAGUAUGGCGUGAAGGAAGUAUACAAACCAAAUUGGUUUGCAGCGGAGAAUGCGGUUUGUUUCGGAGAGCACGGAUGUAGUGGAAACCUCGGACACAGUAAGUAUUUCAUACCUUUUUUAUUUUACAUCGUACCAUUUAAAUAUAGGUAAUUUGCCAUGUGAUUUUUUAUAACUAAAAGGUGAUCCGAUGUUCUGCUUGAAACAGCCUGCAGGCUUUGUAAAGGUGAUUCUUGCCUCAUGUCACGUUGUGCCAUGUUUCGGUGUGUUUCAGUUCUUCGUGGCAUCCGCUUCCUCAAAAAGUUGUGGAAAUACACUGCUGUAAGCACCACUUUUUGAGCCACUUCGGGUGCAAGUUGCAUAGGGCCUUUCACAACUCGAAAGCGAUUGGCAAAAAUCCCAAAUGCGUCUUCCACUGGCAUUCGAGCUCGUGAUUGGCGGUAAUUAAAAUUUCUUUCAAUCGCUCCGAGGGUGUUGUAUGCUCCCCCAUAAGGUCGAAUACAAUAUUCGGUAAAGGCGAAUGCCUUGUCACCCAGGAUAAAAUAUGGUACUCUUAUUGCAUACGGCUCUUGCAGCACUUCAGGUUCUGGAACAUUCAGUUGUUUUGUUUCCAGCAUCGUAUACAAACGGGUGUUUUUAAAAAUUUCACCGUCUGAAACUCCACCCUGGCC